GCCCUGAUGGUCUAGUAGUAUGAUACCUUGUUAGGGAUUUAAUUCGCUUCGAGGUGGUCCCCGGUUCAAUUCCGGGUUAGGGCC